CUAGCCAUCCCACUCCAUCAAGCCACAUCCCACUGAAUAUCUAAAAGUGUUGCUACCACCCAUGCCACAUUCCUGCUGUAGCUUUCCUCACACAUCCAGUGCACGCACAAAAGAAGACUCAGAGAAAACAACUGAAAAAUGGAAGGAAAAGCCACUGUGUCAACUCGUGGAUCCAAUGUACCCACAUACUUGGCCUGGUCCAUUAUUAACACACUGUGCUGCUGUACUCCCAUUGGAAUUGUUGCAAUUGUUUUCUCCUGCAAGACGGACACAGCCAAUGUUGUUGGUGAUACCACGAGAGCUAAUGCGCAUUCCAGGAUGGCCAAGAAACUGAAUAUUGCCGCACUGGUCAUUGGAAUCGUUUUUCUCAUAAUUUUUAUCAUCAUUGGUGUGAUAUCACAAGGACAUUAGUAACAGCACAGUGCAAGGCAGUGGAGCUGACUCACACCCUUUCAUUAUGGUUACAUAAGGAAAACACUCUGUAUCUUUGUUUUUUUUUUUUUUU